AGAGUUUGAUCCUGGCUCAGGACGAACGCUGGCGGCGCGCUUAACACAUGCAAGUCGUGCGGUACCGAUGGCAAGUCUUCAUGACGAGCCUUCGGUAUAGCGGCGGACGGGUGAGUAACACGUGAGUAGCUGUCCUAGGGAGGGGGAUAACGCCUGGAAACGGGUGCUAAAACCCCAUAAGCCUCGCAAGAGGUGAAAGUGUACUUGUUACAGCCUUAGGGUGUGCUCGCGGCCUAUCAGCUAGUUGGUGAGGUAAGGGCUCACCAAGGCUAAGACGGGUAGCCGGCCUGAGAGGGUGUACGGCCACACUGGAAUUGAGAUACGGUCCAGACUCCUACGGGAGGCAGCAGUGGGGAAUUUUGGGCAAUGGGCGAAAGCCUGACCCAGCGACGCCGCGUUGGGGAUGAAGUCCUUCGGGGCGUAAACCCAUGUUGUAGGGGAAGAAGAAAGUGACGGUACCCUACGAGAAAGCCCCGGCCAACUACGUGCCAGCAGCCGCGGUAAAACGUAGGGGGCGAGCGUUGUCCGGAAUUACUGGGCGUAAAGGGCAUGCAGGCGGUGCGCCAAGUCGGGGGUGUAAAGUUACGGCUCAACCGUGACCUUGCAAUCGAAACUGGCGCACUGGAGUGCGGGAGAGGGAAGUGGAAUUCCCGGUGUAGCGGUGAAAUGCGUAGAUAUCUGGAGGAACGCCAGUGGCGAAGGCGGCUUCCUGGCCCGCGACUGACGCUCAUGUGCGAAAGCCAGGGGAGCGAACCGGAUUAGAUACCCGGGUAGUCCUGGCCGUAAACGAUGGGUGCUAGGUGUAGGCGCGUCAAGCGUCUGUGCCGAAGUUAACGCGAUAAGCACCUCGCCUGGGGAGUACGGUCGCAAGGCUGAAACUUAAAUGAAUUGACGG
rnacentral:rRNA from 1 species